CUGUGGAGACACCUGGAACGAGACAUAAGAUAGAGGAGAGAAUCAAGAGAUAACAUGUGAAAUCAGGAGAUAAAAUCUGAAAUCAGGAGAGAACAUGUGAAAUCAGAAUAUAACAUGUGAAAUCAGAAUAUAACAUGUGAAAUCAGAAUAUAACAUGUGAAAUCAGGAGAUAACAUGUGAAAUCAGGAGCUGAAAUCUGGAGAUUAAAUCUGAAAUCUGGAGAUAACAUGUGAAAUCAAGAGAUUAAAUCUGAAAUCUGGAGAUAACAUGUGAAAUCAGGAGACCGUAUGUGAAUCAUACUAUGUGGAAUCAAGAGAUAGCAUGUGGAAUAACGACAUACCGUUUGUGAUCAGGAGAUAAUAUGUGGAAUAAUGACAUACCGUGUGUGAUCAGAAGAUAUGUGGAAUAAUGACAUACCGUGUGUGAUCAGGAGAUAUGUGGAAUACCGACAUACCGUGUGUGAUCAGGAGAUAAUAUGUGGAAUACCGACAUACCGUGUGUGAUCAGGAGAUAAUAUGUGGAAUACCGACAUACCGUGUGUGAUCAGGAGAUAAUAUGUGGAAUAACGACAUACCG